rnacentral:lncRNA from 1 species
AGCUUAGGACCGCAUUUACCAAAUCAUGAAGAGGAAGUGAAUCGAAAAUUCUAAUCAUCUCUUUAAUCGUUUGCAAUCAUCACUUUUAAUUUUAAUUGUUUUAUAAACCAACUUUGCUUAGCAAAUCCCCUGCAUUUACAUUCCUAAAUACGAUACAAUUGUUUUGUCGAGAUUGGAACAAUCCCUGCGGAUACGAACUUUAUAAAUUUUAUUACUUAACGAUAAGUUAGUACACUUGCUAAUUUUGUCAUCAAGUUUUUGGCGCCGUUGCCGGGG